UACGUAGGGGGCAAGCGUUGUCCGGAUUUAUUGGGCGUAAAGCGCACGUAGGCGGAUUGUUAAGUCAGAGGUGAAAUCCUGGAGCUCAACUCCAGAACUGCCUUUGAUACUGAGGAUCUUGAGUACGGGAGAGGUGAGUGGAACUGCGAGUGUAGAGGUGAAAUUCGUAGAUAUUCGCAAGAACACCAGUGGCGAAGGCGGCUCACUGGCCCGUUACUGACGCUGAGGCACGAAAGCGUGGGGAGCAAACAGG
rnacentral:rRNA from 1 species